ACAAGUUAAACUUGUGGAGCCUUGGUCUUCUUCCUCUCUCUCCAUACUUUAUUUCUCCUCCAAAGAGAAUGCAAGCAAUCUACCAUUGCUCCUCCCCUCUUGUUCCUCCUUCUCCUCUGACUUCUUCUCCUCCUAUUUCUUCUUUUUGUCUAGUGAUAGGGCGAGAUAGCUUUGGAAGGUCCUCAGUUCAACAAACAUAUAACCAGCAACCAUUGUUAGAUGAAAAGGAGAAGUCAAUGAGGGAGGGAUCUUCCCC
rnacentral:lncRNA from 1 species